GAUGAACGCUGGCGGCGUGCCUAAUACAUGCAAGUCGAGCGAACAGACGAGGAGCUUGCUCCUCUGACGUUAGCGGCGGACGGGUGAGUAACACGUGGAUAACCUACCUAUAAGACUGGGAUAACUUCGGGAAACCGGAGCUAAUACCGGAUAAUAUAUUGAACCGCAUGGUUCAAUAGUGAAAGACGGUUUUGCUGUCACUUAUAGAUGGAUCCGCGCCGCAUUAGCUAGUUGGUAAGGUAACGGCUUACCAAGGCAACGAUGCGUAGCCGACCUGAGAGGGUGAUCGGCCACACUGGAACUGAGACACGGUCCAGACUCCUACGGGAGGCAGCAGUAGGGAAUCUUCCACAAUGGGCGAAAGCCUGACGGAGCAACGCCGCGUGAGUGAUGAAGGUCUUCGGAUCGUAAAGCUCUGUUGUUAGGGAAGAACAAAUGUGUAAGUAACUAUGCACGUCUUGACGGUACCUAAUGAGAAAGCCACGGCUAACUACGUG
rnacentral:rRNA from 1 species